rnacentral:tRNA from 1 species
GCGGAAGUGGUGGAAUUGGUAGACACGCCAGAUUUAGGUUCUGGUGCCGAAAGGUGUGGGGGUUCGAGUCCCCCCUUCCGCACCA